rnacentral:misc_RNA from 1 species
UACGGAGGGUGCGAGCGUUAAUCGGAAUUACUGGGCGUAAAGCGCGCGUCGGUGGCGUGAUAAGCCGGUUGUGAAAGCCCCGGGCUCAACCUGGGAACGGCAUACGGAACUGUCAGGCUAGAGUGCAGCAGAGGAAGGUAGAAUUCCCGGUGUAGCGGUGAAAAGCGUAGAGAUCGGGAGGAGUACCAGUGGCGAAGGCAGCCUUCUGGACUGACACUGACACUGAGGUGCGAAAGCGUGGGUAGCAAACAGG